rnacentral:rRNA from 1 species
UACGAAGGAUGCAAGCGUUAUCCGGAUUCAUUGGGUUUAAAGGGUGCGUAGGCGGGCUAUUAAGUCAGUGGUGAAAUCCUGCAGCUUAACUGCAGAACUGCCGUUGAUACUGAUAGUCUUGAGUUUGGUUAAGGUAGGCGGAAUGUGUAAUGUAGCGGUGAAAUGCUUAGAUAUUACACAGAACACCAAUUGCGUAGGCAGCUUACUGAGCCGACACUGACGCUGAGGCACGAAAGCGUGGGGAUCAAACA